rnacentral:lncRNA from 1 species
GAAAGAAGAAAGAAAGAACAAGGAAGAAAGAGGAAGGUUUUUGCUACGGAGACCUCACCAAAGCCGAUUAAACUCCGAUUUGCAAUCCCUAGUAAGUGCUUGUGCCCCUCGUUCUUCCAAUCUGAUUAGUUGUUAGAGUUAGGGUACAAAUUCAAGAUCACGUAAUUUCGUGGAAGCCAACUCUAAAGUCUUGUAAACAAUGACUAAAUGCUACAUGGCAACUCGAGUCAUGUGGAAGUCACCUCUUGGACCUUGUACUAUUGAUACACGUUGAUUAUUAUAUUACAUGAUAACGUAAUUUCAUGAGAGCCACCUCUCGGGUCUUAUACCAUUUACUUGUGUUGGUCAAGAACUAAGUGUUAUAUGAUAACGUAAUUUCGUGGGAGCCAACAUUAGAGUCUUGUACUAUUGAUACGUGUUGAUUAAGGGCUAAGUGCUACACGAUGAUGCAAUCUCGUGAGAGCCAACUCUAGGGCAUUAAGAUGUGAUGUGGUACGAGUUUGGAAAAUGAAAUAAACCAUUGACAUAAGAUAUGACGAGUUUUAUUAUCGAAUUGAAGUAGCGAUACUUGUUUUGAUAUUAUGGAUGAAUGAGAAAUUUUGCUAUUAAUAUAGCAUGGUCGAUAAAUUAUAUACUCAUUUUAUUCUUGUAAGUUAUUAUAUUUUGGAUUGGCAUAAAUAAAUCAUGUCUUUGAGUUUUAGUUGUGUAAUGUGGAGGUUGUUCUGCUUAGAAAAUUCAUACUACUCAGUGAAUUACGGUUGCUCAUCCCUUUUUUUCCCAAUUUUUUUAGGUUCUUCGGUUAGUGGCGAUAAUACAAGAGUGCUAAUGAUGAGGACUUUUGGAUGCAGAUUUUUGGGUAUAGUUUGAGAUUACGUCCUUCAGACAGAAGGAUGACCAUGUCAUACCCAUUUUUGCUAGGAUUUGGGGUGUGACAAAAUCAACCUCCCAUCAAGGCACUUUUUUCCCUCUUGUGCUUCGGCUAAACCGCCAUGUCCCAUUCUCAAAAAAUCUUCGCACUUCUCUCCCUGUGACUAGUACUGUGAAUUGUUCGACCACCGAUUCCAGCUUCAUGAUGUCUCGACCUAACCAAAUGCAAUCAUCGAGCAGUGACAAAGAGCGAACUCAUCUGG